UUCACUCCACUCUCGAAGAAAGACCCUCGGGACGAAGAAGGACGACCUGCGAGCGGGACUGGAAGAUCGGAAGGUCGAGUCUUAUACGGAAGUGACGAUUGAGCGAUCUCAGUUUAUUUGUAUUUGAGGAAUUAUUCAUUCGUAAAUAGAUUACAAAAAACAAAAAAGAAAAAAUGAGGUCCCAGAUGCUCUCCCUCGUGAACUCCACCUACGCCCACUUCCUUCGCUCUCAGAGCCGGCUCUCCGGAAGGGCGUUCUCUCGCUCCAUCACCACCAAGUCGAAAACGAGAGGUCCCGCCUCGCCCUUGUACAGAGCCUCGAACUUGAGACGGAGGGUCACGUGAUCGAGUCGGAGUUCCCGGAUGUCCCUCUGCCGCAGUCGCCGCUCACGCCCGUCGUCUUCGAGGAGGUCGCCAAAUGGGGACACAAGACAGCCACAGAGUGCGGCUACACCGGCAGGAGCU